UGCCGCGCUGGCUGGAAUCCAGAGACCCCACGGGCGAAGUCCCUCUGCAGCCUCCUCAGCCACCAUUUGGACCACUUGUCUUGGGAGAAAAGCCUUUCGUGGAAUAGAGGCAGUGGCUUUGGCAGAAGUGUUCCCAUGGGAUCUGCACGGUGGCCUUGGGAGUGGCAGCUGCCUCCCUGGAGUCCCUGCUGGGGACAGCGGAGCAGCCAGACCACAGGCUUCUCCCACCUGGCCAGACAGGCCACCCUGCCAGCGUGACCAAGGCCUCAGGUUGGGGGGCCACUCAGUGCUGGUGUCUGCAAAAUUGCGAGGACAGAGCUUGCCGCAG